UUUUCGUAAAGAAGAAUCUAUUUCGAAAAAUUAUUUGUCGAAGAAGUUUUCUAUGCUUUUCUUCUUUGGGGAUUUGGACGUUAACUUCGUCGCAACCGUUUUUGACCCCAACACAGUAGACCCGAAUAGUAAGUGUAGAGGGCCCAGUUCUAUCCAGAAAUCAUACCAGAAAGAAGCGGUAGUACCGUUGCCAAUAGAACAUCGGAGAAAAGUAGGUAAGAGAUGUUUAAGCUGUAACAUACUCCUAACCGUUACCGAGAAUCGCUGGGAGUCCCUGACCAGCCAAAAGUUUCUUCCAUUGAAUCUGUUUGUCUUCAACCAAGCAACCCAGUGAGAACCCGAAUUGGAAAAGAAAUUCCAUAGCCUCU
rnacentral:lncRNA from 1 species